rnacentral:rRNA from 1 species
GAGUUUGAUCCUGGCUCAGGAUGAACGCUGGCGGUAUGCUUAACACAUGCAAGUCGAACGGAGUACUUCGGUACUUAGUGGCGGACGGGUGAGUAACGCGUGAGAAUCUGCCUUCAGGAUGGGGAUAACAGUGGGAAACCAGUGCUAACACCCAAUGAGCCGAGAGGUAAAAAAUUUAUUGCCUGAAGAGGAGCUCGCGUCCGAUUAGUUAGUUGGUGGGGUAAAGGCCUACCAAGGCGGCGAUCGGUAACUGGUCUGAGAGGACGAUCGGUCACACUGGGACUGAGACACGGCCCAGACUCCUACGGGAGGCAGCAGUGGGGAAUUUUCCGCAAUGGGGGCAACCCUGACGGAGCAAUACCGCGUGAGGGAGGAAGGCCUUUGGGUUGUAAACCUCUUUUCUUAAGGAAGAAGCUCUGACGGUACUUAAGGAAUCAGCAUCGGCUAACUCCGUGCCAGCAGCCGCGGUAAUACGGAGGAUGCAAGCGUUAUCCGGAAUUAUUGGGCGUAAAGCGUCCGCAGGCGGCAUUAUAAGUCUGCUGUCAAAGACCGCAGCUCAACUGCGGAGAGGCAGCGGAA